GCAGUGAAUGAAACUGGGGGCUGUCACAUCGUCGCAAACAGACAGUGUGAUUUCUAUUGUGUUGGGUAGUCAGUUGGAGACUUCCUGAUUUUUCUCCCACAUGGGAAAGUCUUAGAUUAUCCUCAGUUAAGUGGGACUGUAAUUCUUCUUGAUAGUUGGUUCUCAUUACAGAUAACAUUUGUUAUGUAUAAUUCAAUACAUGACCAUUAAGUUGAUUAAUUGGUUAAUUUUUAUUGAAAUUUAAAACUUGGAUUUUUUUAUGUGUGUGUACACAUAUAAAUAUUUUUUACCAUAUGAAAACUGUAGUAGCUAAUUUUCUGAUUUCCUAUUUUAUAAUAAAAUUAUGUGGGCUGGAAAAAUAUAAAACUUUUUAUAUUCUAGAAAGAAAUUAUUUUGGAAGUACAUUUUUAUAAUGGUCUGAUCUCAUUUUUUAGAAAAUGAAAGCACCGUAAGUAAUGGGUCUGAUUUAUAUGAACAAACGGAAUGGAAACCCCUGUGGAUCAUUUCAUUACAGUAUUUAGUCCCCGUGCAUUUCUGGCUGGUGCUUUUUGGGAGAUGGAUCUUGGGUACCACUUCGCUACAUAAAGGAGAGCGUUCUAAAGUUGUGUCCCUGUAUAGAUUUGUACCCCUCCAGCAUGAAAGAAGCUCCUGAGAUGUUGAGAAGAGGAGAAGAAAAGGCUGUGAUUUUUUCUUUCUCCUCCUAUACCUCACUGCUUAGUAGCAUCUUUCCUGAAAGGCUAGACUGUGACCUUUCAGGAAAGAUGACCAGGAAUCAGGUCAGAACGUUAAGUGUCAAAAUGAAAUAUUUACACUUUGCAGCAUCAGCUAUUUUUCAAGUAUUACCUAAAAUUCAGCUUAUGUACUUGGACAGAGCUAAAUUUUGUGAGUAGACUGUAGCUCAGCUUUCGGAGAUUUUCAGAACUACAGUACUUUUUAAGGAAUUAAUAGGGCUCCUGAAAAUUGUAAAAAAUGAAAAAGCAAAAAGUAGCCGUCCUUAUAUAAAGAACUUUACAAAAUGGCUUGUUGACAUGUAGAUAAUGAGCACGUCGUUUCUAAGAAGCUUGGAGAAGGUGGGCAGAGUCGUGUUGAGUAUUUGUGAGCUCCUUCUUGCUUGAUUGGGAAGGACCUCGACUCACUGAGUUUUAUUAAUAGUACUUCUAAAAUCUUUUAAACUUAUUUUUUAAAGUAGAUUUUCUUACCUUUGGGGAUCAUAAAUGAGGAGAUCUUGAUAUGACAGAGUGAAAAAUUUUUAAAAAUGACUCAAAGUAUACACUAAUAGAUUAUAUUUUACUCAAAUUUUUAUCCCCAGCCCAAAACAUUUUGUGAGCCCCUGUAAUGAGCGAAGUGAUGUGUGUUGAAGUAC